UAGGAAGAAAAGAGAGGGAAUAUAAAUUCUAUUUGGUUGAUUGGAAGAGAAUUGCAUUUCUGUCGAUAAAAGGAAGUACGUGACAACAUUUCCUAAGAAUAUCAUGCAAAAUUUUUCCUAAUACAGGUAUGUUAAGGCUAUCCCUUCUUUCUUUUGGCAUGAUCCAUAUGAUAUGAACGAAACGUGCAAAUACACAAAUUCCAUGAAUGACUCUAUUCAUGGAAAUAUUAGAGAUAUCUGUGUUCUUGAAUUUCCAUGUGUCAUAAUAUUUUAUCAUCUGUUCAUGGGUUUCAAAAAAAAAACGAAAGUUGAAAAGAGUUUACUUGAUGAUAUUACUCAAAGGCAAAAUGGUCUUAUGAGAUUCCGAAAGAUUUUAUUAACGUACUUUUCAUGUAUUGCAUUCAUGUGCAUUGACCCAAGACCAGAUGGCGUUAUAUACGCGUAUAUAUGUAAAUAUAUGUAUAUGGUAUAUAGGAAAAGGUUACGACGUUAUAUACGCACCACCACCUGAUCAACUGGUAUAUGAUGAUGAUGUUGCCCGCAGUGGCUUAAAUAUAAUUCAAACAGUGUUAUAUACGCGUAUAUGGGUAUGUAUUCAAAUGGCGUUAUAUACGCAUAUAUGUGUAUGUAUUCAAACGGCGUUAUAAACGUGUAUAUAUGCAUGUAUAUAUAUGUAUAUGGGAUAUGGGAAAGGUUAUGGCGUUAUAUACGCACCACCACCUGAUCAACUGGUAUACGAUGAUGAUUUUGCCCACAAUGGCCGAUAUGAUAUGAUGGGAUGCCCUUAGAGGCUGAUAAUGUUAUGAAACAUGUACCUAUGCACGACAUGACAUUCAUACGCAUAUGCAUGACGCUGAAAGUAAUUUAUGAUUUACAAAUUUAUUCAGACUCACAGGUUGAGUCAUGUACUCCAUAUGUCUUCCAUGUCUCUUAUGUAUUUAUUUAUGCCUUACAUACUUGGUACAUUAUUCGUACUGACGUCCCUUUUUUCCUGGGGAUGCUGCGUUUCAUGCCCGCAGGUCCCGAUAGACAGGUCGAGAGCCCUCCAAGUAGGCUAUCAGCUCAGCAGAAGAUGUUGGUGCGCUCCAUUUGCUUCGGAGUUACUUGUUUGGUUAGUAUAAUUUAGACGUGUAUUGUUUGGUAUGGUAGGACUCUAUCCUAACCUCUAUGACAUUUAUGUAUUCUUAGAGGCUUCUAGACAUAUGUCAUAUAGGUGAAAGAUUGUACGGC
rnacentral:lncRNA from 1 species